UGGUUUGUAGGCUGCAUCUGACAACAGCCAGCAGAAGAGCAACUGGGCAGGUGCUGCUGCCUGCCAGUUGGCCUGCUGGCUGCUGUAAGACUGCAGGGAUCCUGAUGCCC
ensembl:miRNA gga-mir-6650 gga-mir-6650